GGAUUGUAGGCUGCAACCCGCCUACAUGAAGUUGGAAUUGCUAGUAAUCGCAGAUCAGAAUGCUGCGGUGAAUACGUUCCCGGGCCUUGUACACACCGCCCGUCACACCAUGGGAGCCGGUAAUACCCGAAGUCAGUAGUCUAACCGCAAGGGGGACGCUGCCGAAGGUAGGAUUGGCGACUGGGGUGAAGUCGUAACAAGGUAAC
rnacentral:rRNA from 1 species